CAGCCGCCGCGGAAUACAGAGGGUGCGAGCGUUAAUCGGAUUUACUGGGCGUAAAGCGUGCGUAGGCGGCUUUUUAAGUCGGAUGUGAAAUCCCUGAGCUUAACUUAGGAAUUGCAUUCGAUACUGGGAAGCUAGAGUAUGGGAGAGGAUGGUAGAAUUCCAGGUGUAGCGGUGAAAUGCGUAGAGAUCUGGAGGAAUACCGAUGGCGAAGGCAGCCAUCUGGCCUAAUACUGACGCUGAGGUACGAAAGCAUGGGGAGCAAACAGGAUUAGAUACUCCUGUAGUCCCUGUCUCUUAUACA
rnacentral:rRNA from 1 species